UGGAUAUUUCUUCUUAAGCUCACCUGAUCGCUAGAGCUUCUGCUAUCUUACCAUCUGUUCGGGCGAAGCGUUGGGAAUCGAUCCUUUCGCGAUGGUGAACGAAGAAGUCGGAAGCAAGCUUGUACGUCUUCUUUAUUUCGUCGGGGCUGGAGUGAUCUGCACUAAGGGCAUUAAUCUUUGGAGGGAUCAUGAACAGAAGGCUGCUCUUAAAGCGACCGAAGCCGCAUCUCCAGCGAAAACUGAGAUGUUGAACGCCGUCGUUCCGAAAUCUUGAACCCUGUUCAGAGCCUUUUGCAUUCAAAGUGGACAUGAACUGAUUAUGGGAAGACAACUUUCUCUUGGUAGACUUAUGGUAGAGUACAUUCUUUUGUUUGAUGCUUUUAUAAUUCAGCCAAUUUAUCAGUGUCUUCUAAAACUCACUAUAUGGUGUAUCUUAUGGUUUCUAAAACUCACUAUGCAGUGUUGUUUUCCUAAUCCCUAUUCCCCUCUUUCUCAUAAAUUCUUCUUUAGGAAAUCUAAUUUUGUGUUAUAAUAGUACUCCGUGUAAGUUUAUUUUAUUAAAAGUAGAUGGGUAAAAUAUUCGGAUUUAAAUACCUUGUGUCCCUAUUAAAUGUUUGUCGUAACUACUUCCAUGUAGGAUUUCAAGUAGUUGGGAUAAGGCUAAUAUGAUGAUGGUGAUGAUCAAGAAAAUCUACAUGAAUAAUUCAAAACUUCCAUUGAUAUGCACUCAAGCCCAGAGAUUUACCCAUUGUUGCUUAGCUUCGUUGGUGGGUGAGUACAGUUGGGAAUCCCUCAACCCGUGUUCGAUUCCCCUUGCGCGGCAUUGCUCUUAAGUGGGGCCCAAUCAAAUGCGGGCCAGGAGGUUUCUGGGGUGGGUGCCUCUUCUAGGUCAGCCGAGGAUUAGUCCUGCCGUCAAGUGCCCUUUCGGGGUUUGCAGCAAGUGGAUACCCCGUUCCAAUAAUAAAAAAAAAGCCCAGAGAUUUUGUGCCAGAAACUAACUCCUGAAAUUGAGUUUUAUCUUUAAAGCAGAAAUUCCAAUAAAUUUGAAAGACAGUUCUAAAUUGGCUAAAGAAUAACCUUAUUAUGCGAACAAUUUUAUAUUCCAUUGGAUAUAUUAGAUGGAAUAGAAUAUCUUUGGCUUGCUGGUGUUUCUUUGAAAUUGCUACCUUGUUAGAUAAUAAGAAGAUAUAGGAUGAGCUUGGAGCGGUUCUUUCAGUUACUUCCAUUAUGGUUUGGAGUUCAUAGGCUUGGGUCACGAAAGUGGCUUCUGUAAAUGCAGUGAUAUGAUUGCAUGCACUAACUCCUCUCUUGACCCUAUAGUAACUUCAGCUUCAUGCAUUGAGUUGACAGUGUAAGAUUUUCGGCACGGGAUUGAAAAUAUUUUUCAUUUUGCUU